UAGCUAAAGUGGUGCUUCAGGUUAAGAACAGUUUCAGGUAAAGAACAGACCUCCAGAACGAAUUAAGUACUUAACCCGAGGUAGCACUGUAUGUUGUUUUAGUAUCGGUAUAUGCAGGGAGAAGACUUGCUCUUUAAUUAUGGAACCCCCUACCUGGAACUGUUUCUAAUGCCUUCCUCUUAUGCUGCUUCCAGAAGUUGAGCAGAUUAACUCUUGGGCGAGUUUGAAUCGCAUAGUUUGCAUGACAACCCAACGCACAAAACAGUUUCUCCCAAAGUAGGGACACCCUGUUUAAAACAGCUGCCCCAUUGCCCAGUUAUGUAUUCUUGGGAGUCCUUAUCCUCCAGAUAUUGGUGGGGAACGAUGAGUGUGUUGGCACUCUGCCCUUCUUAAGCUGU